UAUAUAUAAAUAAGAGUCAGAGGUAUGCCAUGUUGACUGUUUAAAUAUGUUGGUGUGUAACCAUGUUUCAACACUUUUGAAGGGAUUAAUAAAUGGUAACAGCUGUGAUAUCGACUAAAACGAUUUGUGGAAAGUAUCUAAACUAGCAGUAACAUAGUUCUCCGGCUUCAACUUCAACUCACAGAUUGAUGGCGAAUAAGGGCAAUGGAAACAGAUUUUCAAAAAAGAAAUCAAAUAAAACGCACAUUAAAGAAACAGUCGUGACUGACAGAAAAGAGGCUAACAAGACGACUGAACAAAGUGAUCUAUCUGUUGCUACCAACUCAUUCCAAAAUGUGGAAAGCAAAAUGAAUGUUACAGUGGAUCAUGAAAAGAAUACUUCCGAAGUUGUUGGCACAGUAGCAGGCAUUGUACAACAAUGUCUGCAGCACUGGUCUGGUCUAUUGGAAUGGUCAUAUUUGAACCCGUGGGUGGUAUACUUGUAGGCGCUGGUGUUGCUGGAUUUUGUGGUAUGGCUAUUCAAGCCAUGUGGAUGACGAGACGUCUAAUCUGCGAUGUACUUAAUUGACAGGAAGCAUCGACACACAACAGUUACCUUACUAUAAGAAUAUUAUGAUUCUUCGUCAAAGGAUGAAUAAGAACAGCAACUUACCAAUUAAACCUUCAGACGAAGGCAGACAGCGUGCUUCAGACCUUACUGCCACUAUCACCGCUAUUAUACUAGGAAUAAUGGCUGGAUUAAUUGUUUGGCCAGCAGGCCUUGUUCACGAUACCCCCGUUCCUGGUCUUAUCAUUAUGGCUUUUGUUGCUGGAUUGACUGGAGCGAUUAUUCAAGAAGCAUGGGCACAAAACAUUCGGCAGAUUCAAAUAUUCAUAAUUUGUAUGGAGCCUGUGAUGUUUGUCAUUAUAUUUGACAUAUUUGGUCUGCGAACUGCAGCUUCUGAAUAUAUUCCAGAAGAACCAUUCUACAUAGACAUUUAGUGCAGCGACGUACAAAGAGUGCACAAACAUGAAUUCCAUAAACUGUAUACGAUAUGAUUUGAUGAAUAUUAACAGCGAGUGUGAUAUGCAUACAUGGUUACUGUAAAACGAAUUAUGGUCAGUAUCUAACACGCAACUAUGACAGGGCCCCAUGGACUGUAUACCCUAGUCAACCGCGUUCAGAGAGCUUUGUGAAACAAUCAGCAUUAAUCAUUGCGUGUUUUAAUUUCGACUUGUAUUCGUAACAGGUAAUGCUAAACUCCCUCGAAGCUACAUUAUAACGCAGGACAUCUAGUUGUAGUGGUAUUACGCUUAAAUAAAACUUCUAAUGCCCCCUUCGAUAUUUUGCCAAUAAACUAAGAUUUCAAUUUAAAUAUUUUGCAUUAAAAUAUUUUAAUCAAUAAUAUAUAAAAAUACAAAAUAAUUCAAAAUGUAUUCAUGAAAUCAUUUGAUUUUAUUCGUUUUUCGAACUCACCUUUAGAAAAGUCACAAAAAUACACAUGAAUAUCUUGAUUUUAUCAAGUUAUAUGGAUACAGAGGUUCGGAUAUUGGGUAUCAAACCAAAUAUUAGAAACAUGGCGCAGGAAAAAAAAAGCAUUUUUGUCACAGAUGUUUUCCACAACAGACAAGUUAGUUUAAUGGUAUAUUUGUCAUUGAAGUUGAGGUAGUCAGUUUUAACAUGUUUUAAACGUUUGAAAAAGUCAUAAAUGUAUUAGAAAUAAUAUAACAGAUAUUGUUAAAAUACGGAGAGGUUUUAGAAGUUCAUUAAGUAUAUGAGGUUAUAAGUGUAUUUUGCAAAUGACUAUUACUUUAAUGCAGCAUUUCGUUUUAAUACAAAACGUUAAAGUUUGCUCAUUUAGUUAUUAGAAUGAUGCUGGUAUACUUUUAUCCAUCAGAGGCUUCUCACAGUCGCAGGAGGAAUUUCUGAUUCAUUUCUUUUGUUUAUUUGUGAACACGGGUAACCGUAAAUGCCAACGGAAGUGGUAUCAGUUAACGUUUUCACCGAAUUGGAGACUCAAGCAACAUCUACGAAAACAUACUUGCUGAUAAUGAAUAAAGACGAUACAAAAUUACUGCGAUCCAUAAAAUUUACCUCUCUAAUAUCGGAUAUUAAUACAUGUAUCAAGAAAAUGAAAAUAUUCCUCGCAAUCGGCUUCGAAUACUAACGAUUUUGAUAUAUGCUCGAACACACGAAGCGAACUGAAACAGAUUUCAGUAGACCUAUGACAUGCUUAGGUUUACGAACCAGCAGCUAUUCAAAUACAGGAAAAGCCCGUACUAUCCAAUCUAUGUAUCUAUAUCAUGUCGUCUGAACUACAAAUCUUUUUUUGAAAUGAUUUGAAUAAUAUUUGUGGUACCAGAAACAAUAUGAAAUGUUAUUAUUAAGAUAGGUAAAUGUUUCUAUAUGAGACUAUAUGUUUCACACAUUUUGCAACUAAUUAGAUUUAAAUUAUCACUAUGUAAUGUAACUACAUGUUGAAGAGUUCAUUAUCUAAUAUUGUCUAAUAUUGAAGUCUCCGUAUGUUUUCGUAAUAUUAAUACAUGAACUUUUGAGCUAAUUGAUAUGCCUGUACCUUAAAACUAAAGACAACUCAUGGUUCAGGAAGGAUUUAUGCAAGUAUUUGUCUGGUAUCAAUAAUAUAUCUAUAUAUCAGUUUACAGUCCAAGGGAUGUAAUCCUUUGGAACAAAUGAAAAUUGUUUCAGUAGUAAUGUAAAUUUGUUAUAAAAACUAAAAUAAAAGGAUAUAUGUAUAUUAAUUACCUCUUUAUGUAAGAAAACCUGUAAUGACUUAGACCAGCCGGACGGCUUCCGCACAUGAAGAGAUAGCGAGUUGGUGAGCUCCAAGUAUGUCGAUGUCGGCCCAGUGAGGUCUUUUCAAAGUAUCGUUCUUUGAAUACAAUUUCCCAAUAUUUGACAUGGGUUACAUUGAAAAACACGUAUGUGUUUUUGUAUAAAUUAUCAGUGUUUCCGUCAUGCUGCUCCAAUAAUACGCAAAUCUACUAAGACCCUUGACGGUCAUUUAUCACGGACUGUCACAGUUUUUUUCUAUUACCGUCACGGCAAUGUCACGGGUCUGAUAAUCGGAAUAUGAUGUUAGCGUCAUAGUAACAGAGAAAUUUUAGUAGUAUUUAUCUUUUAAGAUUGGUUAAAAAAAAUAGAUAUGUUGCCAAGUCGACCCAAUGCAUGUGUGACGGUGAGAUCAGAACCAUAAAUAAACAGAAUAAACAGAAGUUAACUGCUACAAGAACCAUUUGUGCUGUAUAUUUCGGAAAGACAGUAUGGGCAAUUGACGAACUACAAAAGGCUUGGAUGGAGGAUUUUAUGAAGUACUUUGAAGACAGGAUUUCCCCGAACCUAACGAGGGUAUGCAAGUGGUCAACAAAAAAUGAUCUAAAUUAAUCUUUGUGUUACUGUAGCUAUAACGAGCAGCUGCAACUAGAACUAUGAAUUAUGUGAGAUAUUAAUUUGGGAGGUAUUUUCAAAUGAAGCAGUUUGUUUUCUGCAGUAAAAUGAUAGUGUGUUUGAGUUGCGUUUCCUCUCAUGGUCAGGCUCCAUAAAACGUUUUAUUUUGCUUGGUUGCAUUCUAUGAUUCCAAACAAUCUUCUUGAAUAUUUUAUUCUUUUGAUCAUUUGUAUUUGUAAGCAUUUUCCAUGCAAUUUCAUUAUUUUUAUUUUUUUCACAACUAAAUUUUAGUUCUAAAUUUCUGUAAGUAGUAAACGUUAUAUCAAGGACGUAAAUAUCUACGAGGA